GUGGCUGUAGCUCAGUGGUAGAGCACUAGCUUGUGGAGCUAGCCGUCGCGGGUUCAAAUCCCGUCAGCCACC
rnacentral:tRNA from 1 species